rnacentral:RNase_P_RNA from 1 species
GAACAGAUGACCGCGCCCCUAUGCGGGUGAGGAAAGUCCGAGCACCACAGGGCAGGACGCCGGAUAACGUCCGGUGGAGGCGACUCCAAGGAAAGUGCAACAGAAAUAUACCGCAGCCUGUUUGGCUGUAAGGGUGGAAAGGCGAGGUAAGAGCUCACCGGGACACGAGGCAACCCGUGCCCCCUGUAAACCCCGUUCGGUGCAAGAUUGGUGUGGGAGCAAUAAAUAGCGGCCCGCUACGCUCCUCGUAAUCGCAUGAGCCUGUUCGGCAACGUCAGGCCAAGAUAGAUGGUCAUCCUUAGACAGAACUCGGCUUACGGUCUGUCUC